CUCAUUAUAGUUUAUAGUAAAAUAUCGAAUUGCAAAUUCGAAGUAGGAUUUGUUCUAGUGAGU
rnacentral:tRNA from 1 species